GCUGGCGGCAGGCUUAACACAUGCAAGUCGAGCGGUAGCAGAUCUAGCUUGCUAGAUGCUGACGUGCGGCGGACGGGUGAGUAACGCGUAGGAACCUGCCCAGUAGUGGGGGAUAGCCCGGGGAAACUCGGAUUAAUACCGCAUACGCUCUACGGAGGAAAGAGGGGCUUCGGCUCUCGCUAUUGGAUGGGCCUGCGUGAGAUUAGCUAGUUGGUGAGGUAAUGGCUCACCAAGGCGACGAUCUCUAGCUGGUCUGAGAGGAUGAUCAGCCACACUGGGACUGAGACACGGCCCAGACUCCUACGGGGGGCAGCAGUGGGGAAUAUUGCACAAUGGGCGCAAGCCUGAUGCAGCCAUGCCGCGUGUGUGAAGAAGGCUUUCGGGUUGUAAAGCACUUUCAGUGGGGAGGAAGGCCUCGUAGUUAAUAGCUGCGAGGAUUGACGUUACCCACAGAAGAAGCACCGGCUAACUCCGUG
rnacentral:rRNA from 1 species